GACGAACGCUGGCGGCGUGCUUAACACAUGCAAGUUGAACGAAGUGGCGAACGGGUGAGUCACGCGUAAUCAACCUGCCCUUCAGAGGGGGACAACAGCUGGAAAAGACUGCUAAUACCGCAUACUGAAGGAGGGGAUUGCGUCUGAUUAGCUAGUGGGAGGGGUAACGGCCCCCCAAGGCGAUGAUCAGUAGCCGGUCUGAGAGGAUGAACGGCCAAAUGGGGACUGAGACACGGCCCAGAAUCCUACGGGAGGCAGCAGUGGGGAAUCUUCCGCAAUGGACGAAAGUCUGACGGAGCAACGCCGCGUGAGUGAUGACGGCCUUCGGGUUGUAAAGCUCUGUUAAUCGGGACGCGGUACCGGAAUAGAAAGCCACGGCUAACUACGUGCCAGCAGCCGCGGUAAUUC
rnacentral:rRNA from 1 species